GCCCUCUCAGACCCCUCCCCCGCUCUUCCCGACUCCACCCCUCUUUCUGCUGCCCACUGGAGAUGCUGCCAGGAAAACAGAGGUUCUGGAGAAUACGUUCAUUCAGCUACAGGGAGAGGAGGAGGCUGAGAAGCCAGAACAGCCAGCUCAUCCUGAAAGUAGAGGCCCAUGAGGUCCCUUUCUGACCCAAAAGAUUCCCACCCCGAGCCUGGCUCCAAUCAGCUAAUUUUUCAGACCUUUGAUCCAUUGAUCCUUUGGGCAGUCUGGGCUUGCUUGGUUCAGUGAGAGGCAGCAGAGGACGAGAGAAAUUGCGCAGGGCUGAGAGCUGUGAAGUCACUGGGUGAGCGGUGUGACCACACCAGGCCAAGGAAGAAGCACGUGCCCAGCCUGCCAUCUGCCCUCCUGUCCUGGAGCCAGCUCUUUCCACCAGCUUCCUUCGUCUUUUAACACUUGGUGAAAAGGAAUGACACGUCAGUCACAGCCACUGGCCAGUGCUCACGGAGCAUCUGGCAGGAGGAAGCGCCUUCCUGGCUGGCCUCCCAUUCAUCAGUCAGAGCCGCAGGCUGGGCCAGGAAGCUGCAUUUGUUGGCCAGGAUUUGAGAUUUCUUUCACUGAGGCCUCCGGAGAGUCAUUCCAAAGGUGAACAUGGAGCACAAACUCAAGAAGUGAAACCACAUGUACUGCCUCAAAAGCAACAAGGCAGGAGGGUGUCGAAAACCCCGGGGGGGAGAUACAAAGGCUCAAAGUUCUGCAACCCGCACCCCUUGGAAAGAGGGUUGGUCAGCUCCUCUCCCAACCCAAACUCCCAGUUUGAAUUUUUAAAACAUCAGCCUUCUAAGCAAGCAUCUGCCACUGUCCGGCUUCUGAAUGAAAGGUGAAGAUCAGAGAAAGGAAUCUUUGUGUUUUCAUCAGGUAUUUUAGCAAAUGCAAUGAGGACAUUCAGAUUUGAUUUCCCUGUUUUGUACACACACAUAAGUCGGUGCUAAGAGGAUUAGUUUUCCUGCAGCCACGUCCUUCCUAAAGGCCCCGGUCAAAAGAGACCCUUGUUCAACAGCGUUCUCUCUGAUUCCUCUGGCUUUUCUUCCUUACCUCAAUGUGCACACAUCUAGCUUGCUCCUAAAUCCACCCACCUCGCAGACUUUGGGAUAACGAAGAUCCCAGCCCUCCAUUCUCCUCCCGCCCCGGUUCCUUAAUAAAGCUGGAGAUGAACAUUAGCGCUUGGUUCAGCAGCAUCCGAAAAGGAAAGGGUGGCCUCCUCGAGCCCUCGACGCCCCAUAGAAAAAUGUAGCCU
rnacentral:lncRNA from 1 species